UCCCUCUUUGAGUUUUUUCAUCAAAGCUCUCCUCCACAGUGCCUCACCUCCACAACGCCUCCCUUCUUGAACCCACAUCCUCUCCUCCUCCUUCCUUCAUUAUUCCAUCACCUUACUGCUAUCGUACCACUGCCUCCGAGAGGUUGUAACGAAGUGCAAGAUAUUUUUCUCCUCCUUACUCACUUCUUCGACUUUAAGCCUAAACCCUAGCCACUUCCAUUCUUCUCUUCUCUCGCUCCGUAAUUUAUCUGGUACUUACAAUAUGCAGGUUUCUCAUUCUCUCCUUGCCUUUCUCUCUUUUUCUAUGUUUUAGAAUGCUUCAUCUUUGCUGAUCUUUGAUUUAUUGAAGCGUAAACUCACUGACGACUCUGUAUAGAUUUCUCUCUUGUUUUCAUGGUGGUGACUUUUGGGUCAGAGUUGGGGGUUUUGACUAAUAUUCUAGUAAGCUUCUUGACUUGUAUUAUGGAAUUAGUGACAUAUUUUCCCUGGAUAGUUUAGUUAUAUGCAUAAUCGCGAGAUCAGGAUUCAGGACCAUGUAUGGAUUUAUUUCAUUAUCAAUUAUACAUGUGCCUAGCUAUUUAUUGGCGUUUAAUCAAAAAUCAUAUUUUAACCAGAGUGAUGAACGGGGUGGACAUAAUCUAGCAAUAUGAAGAAAGUGUUGUUUCUAUUUAUAAGGAAAUAGACAAGAAUGUUGGGUCAUUCCGGUGUUCUUGUGAGGCCUCCUUUUUCAUAUUAUAAUCAAGUUAAACAUUGAUAAGGCUGAAGGAGGCCCAUUAUCCUAAUUAGUCUUUUAAGAAAACUCAAAUUUGGUAUAUAGUUUAUCAUAAAUAGACUUGGUUCCGGCAAGCAAGAAGACAAUCUUAAUUUGUUCCAUCUACCUAUGGAGUAUUUUAUUGACUUGUUGGCUCCAAUACAUAUAUAGACCAAUUCUGGUGUACAUAUAUAGGUUGGGUGCAUGCCCCAUUAUUUUCUUUUGGCUGCCGAAGUUAAAUGGCAUAAGGAAAUUAAUAGGAAUAUUAUAUUUGCAUACUGUAAGGUUGGGGAAGAGGAAGCUGUGAGGUAUUUAAAUUAAACAUUUUAUUAUUAUUUUAUGUUCUGGUGAUAUGUUUAUGUUUUCUUCAACUAUUGUAAGGCAUGUACAACUAUAUCAUGGAUAUUUCUAGGAGUUUAUGAAAAAGUAAUUUGUUAUAUCAGUAUAAUUUUGAUAUAGAGAGACUGAAAGGAAUAGGGAGAAGUAGAGGGAAGAAUAGAAAAGAUAGAAGAGAUAAAGAGGAAAUAGAGAAAGAGAAACAGAGAGGAAUGAGAAGGGCUGGAGAGAUAGAAGAGACGGUAGGCUAUAAAGUACACAGGGUUUAUUAUUAAUCAUCCAUGGAGUUUCAUUUUAAGUUGUCGGGUAUUUAUAGAAAUAGGAAUACCCUCUAACUGCUACUAACAGCCACACGUAUAUUAUACAUAAAACAUGUCCCAAUAACUAAUAUAACUAACUAUUGUCAUUAUUAUAAAAUCAUAAUAUACUUUUAGAUUAAUGAACUAUAGUUAGCUUUCUCUCUUGUUUAUUACUUUUGUUAACUUGGCUUCAAAAUAUUUCUUUACCCAUGUUUAACAUGGAGUUCAAUAAGGCUUAUGUACUCAGUUAACAGUUUACUCUUUUUCAAAAUAUUUGAUGAUUGCAUCAGUUAUUUUCCCUUUAGAUUUGCACAUUUCGGUACAGCCUUAUGUCCUUUUGAUUUUUUUUUAAUAUUCACUUGCUCUUUUUGCUCUAUAAUUUUAAAUUUGCUUCAAAUCUUGUUAUAGAUGCUAUUGAAAAUGUGUGAAGGAUGUUAGGGGAUGUUGUUGUUUCAACUCUGGAAUGAUGCUGCUGAUUGGGUUUCUCAUUGUGGGUUGCUGGAGUUGAUUGCAGAGGAAUGCAUGAUGUGUGUAUGUGCCCUUACUGGUCUUUGUUGAUUCAUAUGGUUGAGAAAUGGAAGAAGUGGGAAAGUGAGACAGGCAUUAGAAUAUCAGGUCUAUGAUGGUAUUGAUCCAAGUAAUUGGGAGUCUCUUUGUGUAACUGAUAUUGCAAUCCUUGGUGCAGAUCAUUAAAAUUCUCAAUGGAUCUCAAGGCAUGGCAGCAUGAGUCUUGGGCUUUGCAUUGUGAGAACAUUCCAACAUUGGCAUGGCUUAAAGUUCCAGUAGCGAAGAAAGAUUCAUCAGAGACAGUAGAAUCAAACUCUGACACAAGUUGUUAGACUUGGAGUACUUUUACCUACAACAUUUUUUUAGCCUAGAUCCAAAAUAACAUAAGGAGUUGAUUGAGAAAUAUUACGUCAAACAACCUAGAAAGAGCUAAGAAGACUGAUAAAAAGAUGCCAAACAUUGAUCAAAGUUGAGGUCAAAUGAAGAACUAAUUACAGGAAGACUAAUUGCACGGGAUUAUUACUUCAAGCACAUUUUUUGGUGUAGGGAUGAAGAACUUGAAGAGUAGUAUCAUUAUAGAUUUGUUUUAAAACUGACUAUUGUAUUUGUGGAAUUGAAAAGUAAAUUCAAAUUAUAUUUCAGUUAUUGUAAUUUUUUUCAUGAUUAAUAAUAGUUUGUUGAUAUAAUAUGGUGAAACAAUUUUUAA